rfam:Colius striatus contig16888, whole genome shotgun sequence.
UACACAAAGCAUAUGAUGAGAAAGUGAAACUGAUUCUGUAUGAAGUGCAUUCAGUCCAACACUGAGCUUUGUGUC